UGAUACAGUUGUUUUGCAGGUUAUUUUUGUUUUGCAGGAACGAUCUUGUCGCUUUGGCCAGGAUCCACGCAUUCUGUCGCUUCGGCCAGAAUCAGACUCUAAACGAGUCGGUCCAUUUUGUCGCUAUGGCCUCAAUGGACCAAAGAAUUAUUUUGUCGCUUUGGCCUCAAUAAUUCUUCUAUCUUGUCGCUUUGGCCUUGAUAGACUUGG
rnacentral:lncRNA from 1 species